rnacentral:rRNA from 1 species
GACGAACGCUGGCGGCGUGCCUAAUACAUGCAAGUAGAACGCUGAAGAGAGGAGCUUGCUCUUCUUGGAUGAGUUGCGAACGGGUGAGUAACGCGUAGGUAACCUGCCUUGUAGCGGGGGAUAACUAUUGGAAACGAUAGCUAAUACCGCAUAACAAUGGAUGACACAUGUCAUUUAUUUGAAAGGGGCAAUUGCUCCACUACAAGAUGGACCUGCGUUGUAUUAGCUAGUAGGUGAGGUAAUGGCUCACCUAGGCGACGAUACAUAGCCGACCUGAGAGGGUGAUCGGCCACACUGGGACUGAGACACGGCCCAGACUCCUACGGGAGGCAGCAGUAGGGAAUCUUCGGCAAUGGGGGCAACCCUGACCGAGCAACGCCGCGUGAGUGAAGAAGGGUUUCGGAUCGUAAAGCUCUGUUGUGAGUCAAGAACGGGUGUGAGAGUGGAAAGUUCACACUGUGACGGUAGCUUACCAGAAAGGGACGGCUAACUACGUG